AUUAUUUUGGCAGAAGAAGUGCAUUAAAUUUAGAAUUUAAUUAUAUAUACAUGUUAGUUAAGUAUAUAAGUAAUA
rnacentral:tRNA from 1 species